GAAGGGUCGCAGGCAAGAUUACUAGGCGAGGCUUGUGCGCCCGCUCCCGCCCUGGCCACCAGUGCCCACCCGGUCGGCCUGGCACAGCCAUGAUCAAGGCGAUCCUAAUCUUCAACAACCACGGGAAGCCGCGGCUCUCCAAGUUCUACCGCCCCUACAGUGAAGAUACACAACAGCAAAUCAUCAGGGAGACUUUCCAUUUGGUAUCUAAGAGAGAUGAAAAUGUUUGUAAUUUCCUAGAAGGGGGAUUAUUAAUUGGAGGAUCUGACAACAAACUGAUUUAUAGACAUUACACAACGUUAUAUUUUGUCUUCUGUGUAGAUUCUUCAGAAAGUGAACUUGGCAUUUUAGAUGUCAUUCAAGUAUUUGUGGAAACAUUAGACAAAUGUUUUGAAAAUGUCUGUGAACUGGAUUUGAUUUUCCAUGUAGACAAGGUUCACAGUAUUCUUGCAGAAAUAGUAUGGGGGGAAUGGUAUUGGAGACAAACAUGAAUGAGAUUGUUACACAAAUUGAUGCACAAAGUAAGCUGGAAAAAUCUGAGGGUGGCUUAGUGGGAGCUCCAGCCUGUGCUGUAUCAGCUGUAAAGAAUAUGAAUCUUCCUGAGAUCCCAAGAAAUAUUAACAUUGGUGACAUCAGUAUAAAAGUGCCAAACCUGUCCUCUUUUAAAUAAAAAUGUAAAAAGGCCACUCCCAGGUAAAAUCCAGGGGGAAGAGUCAUCUAAGUUUACCAUGCAGUUGUUUACCAAAAAUAGAGGAGGAGAGUCUUAACUUUUGCUCUUGGAUUUAAGUCAAGGUACUAUAUAGAAGUUGUGUAAAAUCAGUAUGAAAGUUCAACGUUGCUUUUCUUGCUCAGUGAUUUUAAAGAAAUUGAGUAGUUUCUAUGUGAUUUUUUUUUUUUCUUUUCUAAACUGCAUUCGGGUGCCCAUCUACGGCAUGCCU
rnacentral:lncRNA from 1 species